UUAAACCAACUCUUUCUCUCUCUACAUUUCUCUCUCUCAUCGGGAAAAAAAUUAAGUCGCCCGUCAAAUUCAAAUCGUCUCUGCUCAAUCCAAGCCAAUGUUGAAAUAAUAAACUAGAUUAAGUGUAUUAAGGAAUAUUCUAGAAGGUUAAUUCAUUAAUUAGCUUAUUCAUGUAUUUGGUUUUAAUUAAAGUUCAUGUACUAGUUAGAGGGGAAGAAUUAAAUUAAAUAGUGAUACAUGUACUAGACUAGAUUCAUGUUGGGAAAAUCCUAUAAAUACCACAUGAACUCUAGCCAUUUGUAACAAGUCUCCUCCUCCACUUCUCGUGUGUGUGUAUGUGAGUGUUGAGUGAAUGUGAUCUCCAUUUUCCAACAGCCAAAUGUUCCUAAAAAGCACAAUUAAUUGAUUGAUUUGAUUAAAUAGUUAAAUGAUCUGCAAAUGAUGGAAACAGGUGGGGCGGGGCUAACGUCGUACAAGGAGAAGUUCACGGUGGUGGAUGAUGAGAAACGGGUGAAGGAGACGGAGGUGGUGGAGGGCGGGUUUCUGGAUCUAGGGUUUACACUUUACCGGGUCC
rnacentral:lncRNA from 1 species